rnacentral:rRNA from 3 species
CGGUUGUCCCGGUUUAAGCGUGUAGGUGUGUGUUCCAGGUAAAUCCGGUUCACUUUAACACUGAGGCGUGACGACGAGGCACUACGGUGCUGAAGCAACAAAUGCCCUGCUUCCAGGAAAAGCCUCUAAGCAUCAGGUAACAUCAAAUCGUACCCCAAACCGACACAGGUGGUCAGGUAGAGAAUACCAAGGCGCUUGAGAGAACUCGGGUGAAGGAACUAGGCAAAAUGGUGCCGUAACUUCGGGAGAAGGCACGCUGACACGUAGGUGAAGUGAUUUACUCAUGGAGCUGAAGUCAGUCGAAGAUACCAGCUGGCUGCAACUGUUUAUUAAAAACACAGCACUGUGCAAACACGAAAGUGGACGUAUACGGUGUGACGCCUGCCCGGUGCCGGAAGGUUAAUUGAUGGGGUCAGCGCAAGCGAAGCUCCUGAUCGAAGCCCCGGUAAACGGCGGCCGUAACUAUAACGGUCCUAAGGUAGCGAAAUUCCUUGUCGGGUAAGUUCCGACCUGCACGAAUGGCGUAAUGAUGGCCAGGCUGUCUCCACCCGAGACUCAGUGAAAUUGAACUCGCUGUGAAGAUGCAGUGUACCCGCGGCAAGACGGAAAGACCCCGUGAACCUUUACUAUAGCUUGACACUGAACAUUGAGCCUUGAUGUGUAGGAUAGGUGGGAGGCUUUGAAGUGUGGACGCCAGUCUGCAUGGAGCCGACCUUGAAAUACCACCCUUUAAUGUUUGAUGUUCUAACGUGGACCCGUUACCCGGGUUGCGGACAGUGUCUGGUGGGUAGUUUGACUGGGGCGGUCUCCUCCUAAAGAGUAACGGAGGAGCACGAAGGUUGGCUAAUCCUGGUCGGACAUCAGGAGGUUAGUGCAAUGGCAUAAGCCAGCUUGACUGCGAGCGUGACGGCGCGAGCAGGUGCGAAAGCAGGUCAUAGUGAUCCGGUGGUUCUGAAUGGAAGGGCCAUCGCUCAACGGAUAAAAGGUACUCCGGGGAUAACAGGCUGAUACCGCCCAAGAGUUCAUAUCGACGGCGGUGUUUGGCACCUCGAUGUCGGCUCAUCACAUCCUGGGGCUGAAGUAGGUCCCAAGGGUAUGGCUGUUCGCCAUUUAAAGUGGUACGCGAGCUGGGUUUAGAACGUCGUGAGACAGUUCGGUCCCUAUCUGCCGUGGGCGCUGGAGAACUGAGGGGGGCUGCUCCUAGUACGAGAGGACCGGAGUGGACGCAUCACUGGUGUUCGGGUUGUCAUGCCAAUGGCACUGCCCGGUAGCUAAAUGCGGAAGAGAUAAGUGCUGAAAGCAUCUAAGCACGAAACUUGCCCCGA